UUAUUUGAUAAGUUUUGUGUACUAUAUUUAUAAAUAUCAUUCUCUUUUAUUUUAUAAUUAGUGAUUUACUAAACACUCAAUAAUAAUUGUCGCUUUUUUCGCAUGACAUCUGUAUAUAGACCAUUCAGUUGCCUAGAGGUUACCAGAUCCUGCACAAUGAUAUUUAACAAAAAGUCAAAUACCGACGCUUUAAUUCUAUAAUGAUAACUAGCUUCAACAUGUUUUUAAAGUGCUUAGUAUCGUCGUAUAAAUAUGAAUAAUAGUGAAAAAUACAUUAAAUAUACCAUGCAUACUUUUGUCACUAAAUAUAACAUGCAUGUUUUUGUUGAUUAUUAUUAUUAUUAUUAUUAACUGUCACCAAGGCAGGCAUAUGCAUGUAUUUAAAUCGCGAACUUAUUAUUGUCUUCCCAAUCUUGAAGCUCGUUAACUUAAAUAGCACAAGUCAUCAACAAAAGAUCAAGUGUUUAGAUUUUUCUUAAACAACUUAAAACUGAUUUCACAGAGAGCUAAGGAUCGGAGAGAGAGGAAAAUAUGGUUCAUAUGCAUUCAUGUUUAAUGUUCUCUCCAAAAUAUCAUUAUGGUAAGUUUUUUUUUUUUUUUUUGCCUCCAUGGUUAUUCUUUCCAAUGGUUUUUAGGGAACCUCCCUCUUCAUCGUCAUUUGAGCAAUGUUAUCCAAUUUCCUCCCCUCAUAUUUUAAAGUACCACAUAUUUUUUUAUUGUUUUAUUAAUUAUUAAUAAUCCUCUUAACAACAUAAUUUUAUAGUAUUAUCAUUAUUUUCAAAUAUAAUUUUAUUGAUAGUUAUUAUAAAUUAAACAAAUCGUAUCAAUAGAAAUUAAAAUAAAAAAU
rnacentral:lncRNA from 1 species